UUUAGGGGCGAAGAGCGCGAGGGGCGUACGUGGAGCUCGCGCUGCUUCCUGAGGGACGCACCGCCACUCCGAGCCCUGAAAGGAAGGGGAGGGGGAUUUCGCUGAGCUCUUUCCCCCCCGCUAACCUCUGGUCCAGGCUUUAUAGCAGAAAGAUUCCUUCCCAGGACAGGAGAGUUCACUUGUCUUGACAUCCUCCUCAAGCCAAAGGUGGCCCCGGCUCUUUAAAACUUGGCAUCGGUAGGAGGGUCUCCUGAAAGAAGAAGCGCGAGACCUUGGAUAUGAAGGCGGGGAGAGGCCGCAAAGGCCAUCCAGCCCAACCCCCUUUAAAGUAGGAAGAGGCCACCAAAGCAUCUCCGCAGAUUAUUUAUUGAUGGUGUCAGAAACGAACUGAGAACACAGCUAUAAUGUAUAAUAAAGCACAAGAGAAAAAGAAUGUGCUGAGAUCUGUGUUAACAUGUCAACAACCUAGCUCAAUUCUCAUUCCUACAUCGACAGAAUAGAAUCACCUUACAUUGCCAGUAAAGAGUUUUCUCAGCAGCAUUAGCAUUAGGAAGAUAGUGAUGGAGAACUGGAGGAAUACAGAGUCUCGGUGCACCAAUCACAAACUGUAAAUGAAUGUACUUUUGAACUAAUGGGAUUGUGGAGCCUAAUUUGCACCAACCACAAACGGUAAAUGAAUGUACUUUCGAAGCAAUGAGACUGCAGUUCAUAAUUUGCACCAAUCACAGCACAUGUCCACUCUUUGUAAUGACUGUAAAUUCCCUAUAUAAUAUCCAUGUAUGUAACUGGAAAGCAUGCUGGAUGUCAACAAAACACAUUUAAUAUAAGUUGAGUUUCUUCCUAUCAGCAUUUUUCACCAUCCAGUGUUCACCGCUAUGCAUAGAAAUUGGCAAUACCAUGGUGUACACCAGUGAUGACGAACCUUUUAGAGACAGGGUGCCCAAACCAAGGAGAAGGGACUGGGCUCUUGGGGUGGUGAGUGGUGGGGGGCAGCCCAGGAUAGAGAGCAGUGGGGCAAGCGGGGAUGGGCAAGCAGGCAAGCAAGUGGGGAGCAGGCGGGUAAAGGAGCAGGGGCCAGCGAGGGAGCAGAGGCAAGCAAGCAAACAAAAUGGACAAAAGAGCGAGCGGGGGCAAAAUGGCAAGUGUGGGCAGGCUAUGGUGUGCAUGCCAGGAGAGAUGAAAUUAUUUCCUUUUUCCCACUUUCCACAGUCUUCGCAGCCUUAUUUAUUUAUUUAUUUACUUCAUUGGUAUACAAUUUUUGUUCCCCCAACCAAGGUCUCAAAGCGGUUUCCAACAUAAUUAUGGCAAAAUGAAAUGCCUUACAUACAAAAACCUAACACAAUAAUAGUAAUAUAUAAUCGAUUAAAUCAUAAAACAACAACAUCAUUUAAUAUUAAACCAUAGAAUUUAAAACAUACUGUAUCAAUAUAACAUUAAAAUCACAUAAUCCAGCAAUCAUGGUCCAGGCCGUUCCGAAUGUCGUAUCUAUUGCACAUAAUCCUUGAUCAUUCAUUGUAUUGCCCCAUGGUGGACCAACAGCAGCAGAUCCCCAAAAGUCAAUCUCCCACCUUAUGUGCUCUUAUUUCUUUUAUUAAUAACCCAUAGAUAUGCCCUGAUUCGUACCAGUGCACAUGCUGACUGAAUCUACAGCAGCAAAUCUCUUGCAUAGCAAACCCAACCUCCCCCUUGAUAAAAUGUAUCCCUUCCUCCAGUGUGUCUUUUUGUAUCCCUAUUUACAACCUACUCAUAUUAUGCAUUUAUUCCCUACCUCAUUCUUUCCAAUAUGUUCUAUCUACUUAUGUUAUAAUUUUUGCCUGAUCAAGCCACAGGGGUCAUCACCCCUCAUUGACCUCCCGGAGAAAUUUCCUGAACCUUUGAGAUGGGCUAAUCUGGGGACAAAGAGACCAUCAAAGAUUCAUCAAUCAUAAAUACCUCCGCUGAUCCUUACAUGCUCACAAGCGCAUAAGUUGGACACCAAUUAGAAAAGGGAUAAUAUUUAACCUCAUCAACUGAAUGUAACUAGUAUGAUUUGCUUUAUCUGUUACCUCCCUUCCCUACCUCUUUUAUGAAAUAUGUUUUAUAUUUUGAGAAGCUAUUACAAAAGGACAAGCAGCACUGACUUUUCCAUCU